rnacentral:rRNA from 1 species
GAUGAACGCUGGCGGCGUGCCUAAUACAUGCCAGUCGAGCGAACAGACGAGGAGCUUGCUUCUUUGACGUUAGCGGCGGACGGGUGAGUAACACGUGGAUAACCUACCUAUAAGACUGGGAUCACUUCGGGAAACCGGACCCAAUACCGGAUAAUAUAUUGCACCGUAUGGUUCAAUACUGAAAGACAGUUUUGCUGUCACUUAUAGAUGGAUCCGCGCCGCAUUAGCUAGUUGGUAAGGUAAAGGCUUACCAAGGCAACGAUGCGUAGCCGACCUGAGAGGGUGAUCGGCCACACUGGAACUGAGACACGGUCCAGACUCCUACGGGAGGCAGCAGUAGGGAAUCUUCCACAAUGGGCGAAAGCCUGACGGAGCAACGCCGCGUGAGUGAUGAAGGUCUUCGGAUCGUAAAACUCUGUUAUUAGGGAAGAACAAAUGUGUAAGUAACUAUGCACGUCUUGACGGUACCUAAUCAGAAAGCCACGGCUAACUACGUG